rnacentral:lncRNA from 10 species
CCAUGGUGAUAUUGCCUUACAUGAAUUGGGGGAAUCUUAAAUUGUUUUUACGACAGUGCAAGUUAGUAGAGGCCAAUAAUCCACAGGCAAUUUCUCAGCAAGACCUGGUACACAUGGCUAUUCAGAUUGCCUGUGGAAUGAGCUACCUGGCCAGAAGGGAAGUCAUCCACAAAGACCUGGCUGCCAGGAACUGUGUGUAGGUGCCAUGAGCUUGACGCUGUCACUUGAUGUAGAGUGCUUCCUGGAUUUGGGGUUCUCUGCGAGUCACAGUGGGACUUGUGUUGUAUUUAAGGGUGGUGAUGAUCCCUACUUUUUAAUACUCUGAUUGCAUUUGAUGUUCAUAUCUUUACUUUUCAGCAUUGAUGACACACUUCAAGUUAAGAUCACAGACAAUGCCCUCUCCAGAGACUUGUUCCCCAUGGACUAUCACUGUCUGGGGGACAAUGAAAACAGGCCAGUUCGUUGGAUGGCUCUUGAAAGUCUGGUUAAUAACGAGUUCUCUAGCGCUAGUGAUGUGGUAAGUGCCGGGACCCCCAGAUAGCAAAAGAAUAGAGAAACAGCUUUCUGUUUUUAAAUGUUCUACUAUUUUUAUCUUUUGGGUUUUUAAAAAAUCUGCUAGCUGUUCCCGGAAAUUUUUAUCCAGAAAGCAAGUGUAAUUAGCUGCCAGUCAACCAGUUUAUGGAGAGGAGCUGUGACCCAGACCAUAGGCCAGCACUGUUUGUAAUCUCAUUUCAUCCUCACAGUACUGCUCUGACAGAAGCACUUUUUUUUUUUUUUUUUUUAAGACAGAGUUCCACUCUUGUAGCCCAGGCUGGAGUGCAAUGGCGCAAUCCUGGCUCACUGCAACCUCUGCCUACCAGGUUCAAGCGAUUCUCAGGCCUCAGCCUCCCAGGUAGCUGGGAUUACAGGCGUGUGCCACCAUGGGCACAUGCCCAGCUAAUUUUGUAUUUUUAGUAGAGACGGGGUUUCACCAUGUUGGCCAGGCUGGUCUUGAACUCCUGACCUCAGUUGAUCCACCUGCCUCCGCCUCCCAAAGUCCUGGGAUUACAGGUGUGAGCCACCACGCCCAUUGACAGAAGCACUAUUAACACUAGGAGAUAGGCUGUGGUAUCCCAGUUUUAAAGGUGAGGAUUUUGAGACUCAGAGCAGUUACAGUAAUUUCAUUAUUAUUUCUUUCUUAUAUAAGAGGCAGACCAAAUAGUUGCUAGAUCAUAAAGAUGUUUUCUUUUUUUCAGGUGACCUCUUCUAAGUGUUAUGGCUCAUAAAAUUUGUAAAUCCCCCCGUCAUCCUCUUCCUUUUGUCAAGUUUCUGGGUGGUUUUGCCACUUAGCCAGAUCAUAGUUGGGCCCUUUGUGAUGUACAGUUUCAGAAGCCACGUUCACUUGUUCAUAUUUUACAGCCAUGUAAAAUUUCUGUCACUUGAUUUCUUAGUCUUAUUUGGAAGACUAAGUGUAAUUUAUUUUCCUGUCUCUUGCCUGUUAGACUUUAUUAUUGUUGCAGAAUAUUUAGGGAUUAGGUAAAACUUCUGCUUAUAGGGUCCCACAUAUGUUCACUCAGUGAUAAUCUGUUUGUGUUAUAUGUAAAAUCCUAUAGAAUAAUUUGCUUCUAAGCUUCAACUGUAAGAAUUGGGCUUACUGUAUCAUUGUAUUUUGUGUGUCUAUAUUUUAAAAUUUAGGGCUACUCUUUUGUUUCAAAGUGUGUAUGUUUUAAGGAUUAAUCUUUUAAUCAUGUAUUACUGUACGCUAAUUAAUUAUAUUAAUUGGUAUAUACUC